CGCGACCUUGGCUCACUGCAGCCUCCACCUCCCAAGUUCAAGUGAUUCCCCUGCCUCAGCCUCCCUAGGAGCUGGGAUUAUAGGCACCCACCAUCACGCCUGGCUAAUUUUUGUCUUUUUAGUAGAGAUGGAGUUUCACCAUGUUGGCCAGGCUGGUCUUGAACUCUGUGAGUUCAAGUGAUCCACCCGCCUCGGCCUCCCAAAGUGCUGGGAUUACAGGUGUGAGCCAGCCAGAGUUCCGCUUGACUGUGACCUCACAAUAUGUUUUGGUAGUUCUUUCCCCUUUCCCAUUCACUACAGCUUCCUUCCAAGCCAAAGGCCUUCCCUCCCAGCAGCAAAAGCAGUCAGAGGACGAUGUUCCCUAGUCUAAUCUGCUCUUUCCUUCCUUCAUUCAUUCAAUCAAUCAUUCACGCAGCUGGCCAGCAGACACUGGAUGACCACCCCUGGGCCAGGCCUUGUGGCAAAUGCUACAGUAAUGACCAGACACAUCACACCCGCCUUCUAGAAGCCCUCCCUCACAAACCGGAUCAACUGCUAUGAUAAAGCAAAUUCUAGAUCCCAGAACUAGUGCUCUUAGAGCCAAGGCCAGCCGAUCCAAGUCUGGACUACUGCUCAGAUGAGCCGAGCCUGAAUUUGGGAGUGGUUGUUACAGAGCAUUACCCUGGCAAUAACUGACUGAUGCAGAGAUGUAAAUAGACAUCACUGGUGGAGCCCCCAGGAAAGCUCUUUAACAGAAGACAGACUCAGCUGGCAGGUUUCCCGUCUCCUUGAAUGAAGACAGGCUCAAUGCUUGGAGGGGUGAGAGGAGGCAGCCAUCUUACAACCACAGGUCACAGGAAGACACUAAACAAGGCCGUGUGGAAAGACAGAAGGAGCCUCCAUCCCUCAGCACCACAGAGACAUUGUAUCAGCCUAGAAAUGCCUAAAUCUGAACUUCCUCUUACCUAAGAAAAAUAAAACCUCAAUUUGAUUCAAUCACUGUUUUACAGGUUUCUGCUACUUCUGAUAUAAUUCCUGAUAGAUAGCCAGGCACAGUGGCUCACCUUAUAAUCCCAGCACUUUGGGAGGCUGAGGCAGUCAGAUUACCUUAGGUCAUUAUUUCGAGACCAGCCUGGACAACAUGUUGAAACCUUGUCUCUAUUAAAAAUACAAAAGUUAGCUGGGCAUGGUGGCAGGAGCCUGUAAUCCCAGCUGCUCAGGAGACUGAGGCACGAGAAUCACUUGAACCCGGGAGGCGGAGGUUGCAGUGAGCCGAGAUCACAUCACUGCACUCCAGCCUGGGUGACAGAGUGAGACUCUGUCUCAAAAAAAAAAAAAAAAAAAUUCCUGAUAGACACAGCUAACUAUUGGUAUUAACGCCACAACUGGCCAGGCAUGGUGGCUUACACCUGUAAUCCCAGCACUUUGGGAGCCCAAGGUGGGCAGAUCACCUGGAGUCAGGAGUUCAAGACCAGCCUGGCCAAAAUGAUGAAACCCUGUCUCUACUAAAAAUAUAAAAAAUAAAAAAUAGCCAGGUGUAGUGAUGGGCACCUGUAAUCCCAGCUACUCAGGAGGCUGAGGCAGGAGAAUCACUUGAACCUACGAGUCGGAGGUUGCAGUGAGCCAAGAUCACCCCAUUGCACUCCAGCCUGGGUGACAAGAGUGAAACUCCAUCUCAAAAAAUAAUAAUAAAAUAAAGCCACACCCGUGUUUGAGAUCCCCCAGGAAAAGCAUGAAGGGUCACAAGCAGGUCUCAUGGAAUCCUGGGGAAUGUGACUUAAGAAUGCUGGAGAAGAAGCCCAGAGAAGUGAUUGAGAAGCAGGGAGAGUAGAUGGAGAACCCAGAUGUGUGGUGGCCACAGGCCACAAGAGGAGAGUAUCUCAACAAGAGACAGGGACAGACCAGGCCAAAUGCAGCAGUGAGAUUCAGGCACAUGAGGAAGAAAACUUUUCAAAGGAUUUAGUAAAUGAGAGGUCCCUGACCUUGGCAGGAAAGGUUUAGUUCAGGGCUGGGGACAGAAGCCAAACCACACAGCCCUUUGCAGAAUCCCAGCCCUCUGCAGCUCCCUCCGUGGGGGAUGGACGCUUGAGGAAGGAUGAUGCAAUGGGAGGAAACCACUGCUUGGCCAGCUGCAACCUUGUCCUCACUGCACAGACCAUUUCUCCUCUUUGCCUCCAAGAUGAAAUCUAAACUCAGCUUGGCAUCCAACCCUUGAAGAUGUGGACCCAGCCAGGCUGUGGCCUCCCCUGCCCAGCCUCCCUUCUCCAUAUUGUAGGAUCCCCCCUCCCCCCAUUCCUGGCCUCCAUGUCCACCCUUGGACUGCCCUCCCCUGCUCCACAGACUAUCUGGAGCCUACUCAGCCUUCUGAGGUGGCACAAAUGUCACCCCCUCUAAUGAAGACAAGGUCACUCCUUUAUCUGGGCUCCUUGCACCUCUCUGUAUCUGCCUUGAAUUAUAUUGGCCAGAUUCAAGUGGGAUUUGCUCCCCAGGGUGGGGACAGUGUCUGUGUUUUCCGUUCCCCACAGGGCAGAGCACACCGGUCUGGCAUGAGCAGGAGCCAGUAGCCUUGUUGGGUGGCUAUGGUGUGCCCUGCAAGAGUUUCCCAGGCCAGGGAUACCAAGUGGGCAUCUUCAGGGCCAUGUCUAUCUCCUUCCACUCCUACAGACCUGGCUUUAGAGAGCUCAGGAAGGAAGCAGAACAAUCAACAGAGACACGUGAGGGCUUUCUUCUUCCCCUCUCCUCUCUGGAGGCUUCCCAGAGGGCAGCUGCUUCCUUUCUCUCUUGUUUUAGAACAAGAAGACAUGAUUGUGACCAAAUUUAGAAAACAACCAAAAAUUCAAAUUCAACCCAUAUUUUAAAAUCCAUUUCAACAGCUCCACCCCACUAAAAGGAAUGUCACUUCUGAGCAACGUGGGUGAGGAAUCAGCAGCCGAAGUAGCAGCAAGGUGGGCUGUGGUGUCAUGGAUUUGGGGUCUGAGGGCUGGGGAGGGAAGAGGUCUUCCCACCAAGGACAGACAAACCCACCCCACCCGCAAAUGGGAGGGAUGAUGAGGGAGAGCAGAGCCAGGCAUGAGAGCAGAUGGGCCCACAUUCAAGGAAGUAUCUUCUUGGCUUCUUGUUUCUGCCAAUAGCUGGAAAGGAUGGAUGCUUCUGGAAGCCACCUCAGAGACCAACCACAGCGGAUGGGCCCUCCUUAGCACAGAGCUACUUUUAGCCCAUUGUUCUACUGUGGGGAACAGAGGGAAACCCAGGGAACGAAACAAACAGUGUCACCUGCCUUCUGUAGUAAUAGUAACCAGGUAUGGGAUGUGUCGUGUGUGCCAGGUGCUAUAGCUAGGAGGCUUUUUAAAAAUAUUGUUUCCAGGAAUUCUACAUGAGUCAUGUUGCCUCAGAGAUUUUUAUGAGGGAAAAAAAGGUCUUUAUGAGCCAGAAUGAAAGAGAUUAAUUUGUCAGGAACAAAUGUAAAAGUUUGCUUUGCAAGCAUGGCAUUCAAGGGGCAGUUCUGAUAAAGCAUCAGGAAUGCUGCUGUGUCCUCUGGCCACCAUAAUAGAGAUAAAGGGUCCAGAAUAAAGGAGGCUCUCAUCUCACUGAACUUGGUUCCCG
rnacentral:lncRNA from 10 species